UACAGAGGGUGCGAGCGUUUAAUCGGAAUUACUGGGCGUAAAGCGUGCGUAGACGGUUAUUUAAGUCGGGUGUGAAAGCCCCGGGCUCAACCUGGGAAUUGCAUUCGAGACUGAAUAGCUAGGGUACGGUAGAGGGAAGUGGAAUUUCCGGUGUAGCGGUGAAAUGCGUAGAUAUCGGAAGGAACAUCAGUGGCGAAAGCGACUUCCUGGACCAAUACUGACGCUCAUGUGCGAAAGCGUGGGGAGCAAACAGG
rnacentral:rRNA from 1 species